rnacentral:lncRNA from 1 species
UUUUUAGGGCUGCAUUUGCAGCAUAUGGAAGUUUCUGGGAUAGGGGUUGAAUUGGAGCUGCAGUUGCCUGUCUACAUCACAGCUAUAGCAAUGCCAGAUCCGAGCCACAUCUGUGAACUACACUACAGCUUGAGACAAUACUGGAUCCUUAACCCACUAAGUGAGGCCAGGGAUUGAACCUGGAUGUUCGUAGAUACUAGUCAGUUUUGCAACUCCUUGAGCCACAGUGGGAACUCCUGAGAUUUAAAUUUGAAUCCUAAGCAAGAUUAUCAAAUUUGUUAAGUGAGAAAGAUGGCACACAAGAAAAAAGAAACCUACUUUCUAAAUGCAGAAAUUUAGUUAUAAGCAGAGAAGAUCAAUAUGAAUUGCUGGGAGACUGAUUAAAAUAGAAAGGACAAUGUAUAGUAAGUAAUAUUGUAAUAUUUUUACUACUGUUGGAAUCAUUUAACAAAAGUGUUCCAUAAAAUCUCACCACAGAAUCAAGAUGCUAAUCUUAUACCUCAUUUAUUGCCAGCAUAUUCAGUGACAUUUUAUAAUGUACAUCUGUCAGCCAGAGAUAUAAAUGAAUGAGGUGAACCAUACAAUUUACCCUCAGGAAGUUCCAUUAGAGCCCCCAAAGUAUAAUAUUUAUGAGGUCAGAAUCAAUUAAUCAGAUAGCUGUAUUUGCUUUUCAGCUCAGCAGUCUCUCUGUUACACCAAAUUGUUGCAUUUGAAAGUCUUUCAUAUUUGGCAAAAGACUGAGUUUGUAUGUGCCACAUAAAAGCUAUUUUGUAAAUCAAUUACUUUAGUAACAUGGAAUGCAUUCAGUAGUAAUUCAUGGUCUAAGUGGAGAGAAUGCAAAAUAUGUUCUUAUCAGAAAUGUUUUAUCUCAGUAGGAGUCCUAAAUAUUCUUUAUGAGCUGUAGUGGUCUUACCUAUCCCACGGUUUACUGAAUUAAAGGCAGUUAAGAAAGAAAUACAGGCUUGUACUUGUUCAGCAUGGAAAUUCAAACUCUGGGAAUGGUAAAAUCAGAGGAGAUGGUAGCAGAAGCAGAGCACAGAUUGCUAUUGAAAAUAAUGCAGGGGGAAAUGGACAAAGACUGUAAAGAUUUUAUAGUAGAAAUGGCCACUGUUCUGAUAAAAUGGUAAAGAAGGGGCAUGUAUAGCUAACCUCAGAGACUAUAAUAAGUGACUGUUGCUGUGGUAUUCACAAAGAGCUACUAGUUUCUCUGCCCAGAAGGCAGGUCUCAGAGCAAUUUUAGAAAUGGUUGCUGAGUUAGAGAAAUUCUGAUGGUAAAAAUAUAAUGUCUCUUUUUUAUUUUUUAAUUUUUUGCAUUAGAAGAGAGAGAACAGAGACUGGGAAGGCUGAUACUUUAUUAAUAAAAAUCUUACUACUAAUUAUUUCUAUGAUUUGGCAACCUGGAUAGACAUUAGAAAUUAUGAAAGAUUUUAUCAAGCCCAGGAAUUUACUUUAAGCUUCUAUUAUUUGCCCACACAAAUCCUAGGUAUUGUGUGCAUGUGUGUGGGCAUGUGUAUAUGUGUGGAGUUGGGGGUUGUGUACAGUGAACCAGUGAGCGGCCUUGGAUAGUAUCUGUGAGGAAGUAAUGUGGUCUGCUAAGAUAAACCAGGAAAGCUGGGCCUGCCUUGUCAUCCACUCAGCAUGGCACUGUAUUGAAAGAAAACAGCGGAGUUCCCUUUGUGACUUAGCAGUAAUAAACCCAACUAGUAUCUGUGAGGAAGUGGGUUCAACCCGUGGCCCUGCUCAGUGGGUUAAGGAUCCAGCAUUGCUGUGAGCUGUGUGUAGGUCACGGACAUGAUUCGGAUCUGGCAUUGUGGUGGCUGUGGCGUAGGCCAGCAGCUGCAGUUUUGAUUCAACCCCUAGCCUGGGAACUUCCAUAUGCCACAAACUACAUCUCUUGGUCAAAAGAAGGACAAGUGCAAAUGCAGAGAAAAAAUAAACACAGUCAAUCAUGCUCCUUUAAGAAUCUGAGGGCUUAUGUUCUGAUAACUUAAGGAUGCUAAUGGGGAUUUUUGAAGGGUCAGAUAGAUUAUACCAAUUUUUUCCUGAUAUGUUGAUUUUAAUACCUAACCACUCUGAAAUACAGUGAGGAUGGGUGCAUGCCUACACAUGCAGCAGUUUUCACCAAAACUCUGUGGCAGCAGUCUGAAGUCCCAAAUACAUGAUUUUUACUCAAAGUCACGAGGUUUAGAAUAUCUGAGGUAUUACGAGAUUUCCUAUAUACACACCAUGUUAAGAGUGGUGGAGCUGCAUGAAGGAAGAGCAUGCCAUCCCCCCAAAUAUAGGGCUCCCAGCAUGGCAGAGAAGAGAGAUCAUAGGAGCCAGUAGACUUUGCACUGCUAAGCAGAAUCUGAAGAUAAAUAUUUAAGUGCUAAAUCACCACCCAUACUAAAUGUAUAUAACUCAGGAAUAUGCCCUGGUCUCCACAUCUGUCUUAAUGCAUGUUGAACUGAAUUAAUGCCCUCUUCCAGGGCAGAGGCCACAGAACAAUUUGCACAUGUGAAAAAACAUACCUGACAUGAAGCAACCUUCUUCAGCCCAAACUCGUAACUUUGGCACAUUUCCACUUCAAGGAGAGGCUUGGGUCAAGUAUCUCUGUUUUCAAACUUGCAUGCCAAAUCAUUUUCCUUAUAGUAAUAUGUUCUGACCUUGAAGGGUUAUGAUCUUUCCAAAUAUAUUCAAGUUACUUGGUUCAAAAAUAAUUAGCUCUCAGAGAUGUCAGUGUUUACUUAAGAGAGAACAUCACACUUCAUUAUCUGAUGCUACAAUUCAGAAUCUUUCCAGUUUAUUUUUUUCUGAUAAAUCAGGGCAUAUUUCCAUAGUUUUAACUUCUCUGAGAUGACUGUAGGUUUUAGUUCUGCAGCAAGUAUGCAGUAACCCCAUAUUUGGCAUGUUAUAAUCCAUUAACAUUUUUGUAUGUUUAUACUAUAAUCUACUUCUAUAGUAUUCUGAAUUCUUUUUGCAUGUGCACACGAAGAAAGAAAACUGGAGAUGCAUUAAAAAUCUCAAAUGACUUGAAUUGGAAAUGGAAGAUAUCUAAAUAAAAGGCAAAUAUGCAGUUGUAACUGGACUGACCUCAAUAAUCAAAAUGCCGGUGACAAAGUAAUAAAAGAAGGAAAAAAGGAACAGAAAAACAGUGGAGCUUUAAGGAGAAAACUAUCACAGUUGGUUUUGUACUGUAUUUUAUGAUCCCUUGCUAUCUUUCGUUAAGUGAAUAGAGGAACUUCCUGCACAUUAUUAGGUACUUUUGCUUCCAAAUUAUCUGAUGUUCUGUGGGUUCAUUUCCUUACCAAGACAGGAGAAAUGUUUUAAUUAAUUUGUGCCUUUAAUCCCAGACGCCUAUCUUGUCCUUUCCCCCCUUUCCUCUCCCAACUGGUAACCAUAGUUUGUCUUCUAUAUCUGUGUUUCUGUUUCUGUUUUGCUAUUAUUUACAUUUGCUUGUUUUAUUUUUUAGAUUUUUGAUAUAAAUUAUAUCAUACAGUAUUUAUCUUUACUAUCAGACUAACCAUGAUAUUCUCUAAAUCCACCCAUGUUGCUGCAUAUGGAAAAAUUUCAUUCCUUUUUAUGGCUUAAUAGUAUUCUAUUGUAAUAUAUUUAUGUAUCUAUAUGUAUAUACACACCCACCACAUCUUUAUCUAUUAUCUGUUGAUAGGCACUUAGGUUGCUUCCAUAUCUUAGCUAUUAUAAAUAGUGCUUCUAUGAACAUUGGGGUGCAUGUAACUUUUUGAAUUAGUGUUUUCAUGUUUUCCAGAUAUAUGUCCAAGGGUGGAAUUGCUGAAUCAUAUGAUAGUUUUAUUUUUAGUUUUUUGAGGAAUCUCCAUGUUCAUGCCACACUUGAUUUUAGGUGCUAAUUUCACCUAUAAGGCAGCUAGAACUUCUGGAAGAAUGGCUUGUACUGCAUCUUAAGACAGAAUAAAUUAUAUGGACCUGGAAUAUUUUAUUUCAAGAAAGAGAAUUUAUUUUCAGAAAUGUUUGUUGUGUGUUGUGUUGCAAAGAACAAAGAGGGCAGCAUAAAAAGAUGCCUGUUAGUGGCCAAACUUAAUAUUUGAGCAUCAGAAAGAUAAUAAUUACAGCCAGUUGGAAAGGAGGAGGAUGUUAAAGAAGCUGUAUGUCUAUUAUUACACUAAAAUAGGGAGACUUACACAAGAUGAUAAAAAGCAUUUGUAAGAUACUUGAAUUUCUAAUGCCAUCUAUGAGAUGCUAUUUAUUGUGUAUCAGAUGGCAUGUAUACACUGUAGUUUUGAUCAUAGUCAAUUGAAAGAUUAUAAAAUACAUAGAUUUUUUUUAAAAUAGAAAAUGCAGAAAUACAUGUAAAACACAGAAGAAUUUUGCAUAAACUGUUCGACUCUCCCUCUGUUUUUUGUAACCAAAUCACUAGGACUCUUUUUGUGGACUAGUAUAGUAACUUAUACUUUUGUUACUCAGCCUGUAAAAUUGUGGUAGUCCUCCAUGAGACCAAAUUUAAUAGUGUUGUGAAAUGUCAUGUGGUUGUCUGGAAAUGAAAGUUUAUAUAGAGAAUUGGGCCCAAGAUUGUGGUGUGGCAAGGGCAUAAUACUCAGACAGGGUCGUUGUAAUGUAUGCCUCUUUUUUGGGGGAAAGAAUAACUGCCUUUCACACAUUUCUAUGGGGAGUUGGAGUAGUGCCUCCAAAUAACAACCUUUGGUCACGGCAACAGCAAGACUUCUUUUAGGGGCUAGUUUGGUUUGUGUCUGCCUUGUUGAUGAGAUUCUUUGGGGGUUUAUAUGGAAAAUUACAGGAUUUUUUUUUUUUUUUGGAGGUGGGGAGAGGAGUGUGUUAGGACAGGAAGGAAAUGCUUAUUCCUCAUUCCUGAUAUUUUCUCCCGUAUGGAAAGGGCAGUUCUUGCUGGAACAUCACUGGCCCCUCCUGCACUUCAA